UAGGAAGUGGUGUAGUGGAAGCACGAAGAGUUUUGAUCUCUUCAGGUAGGGUUCAAAUCCCCUCUUUCUA
rnacentral:tRNA from 1 species